AUGGUGGUGACAGUGGCAAGAAUGGUUGUGAGUGGUCGAUCAGAACAGCGAUCCAAUGAGGUGCGACUAACACGGUCGGCAUCGGGAAGGCUUCACAGUGGACUCAGGCUUUGUACAACACGGAGGUGGAUACAUGUGUGGCCUGGUCGGCUUGGUCUCGCCGGCGUGGAACCGGAGACCUCGCGGAAUUUGAACCAGUGUCGGUGGUGUGUGUUGUAUUACUGUUGUACAUAG